UCUCCAGUUAGUCUUCCAGGCUUUCAGCAUCAAUUGGGAUUGCCGAACCAUUCACCAGGCUUUCAGCAUCGAUUGAUCGAUUGGGAUUGCCGAGCCAUCUACCGGGCUUUCAGCAUCUACUGACCGAUUGGGAUUGCCGAGCCAUCUACCAGGCUUUCAGUGUCGACAGACCGAUUGAAUUGCCGAGCCAUAUACCGGGCUUUCAGCAUCGACAGACCGAUUGGGAUUGCCGAGCCAUCUACCGGGCUUUCAGCAUCGACAGACCGAUUGGGAUUGCCGAGCCAUCUACCGGGCUUUCAGCAUCGACAGACCGAUUGGGAUUGCCGAGCCGUCUACCGGGCUUUCAGCAUCGAUUGACCGGUUGGGAUUGCCGAGCAAUCCAGCCUCGUGAACGGAGCAGCUACCAGUUCUUAGCUUCCUCAGUGUAAAGACAGUUACUGUGGGGACAGCUCAGACCACGCGUAAACCCUUUUGUAUACUCACUGUACCGGUUCUGUUCCUCUAGAGGACCCUGAAACCCCACACCACGUUCUACUUCUUUCAGGAAGCUGUACUGUCAGGUGUCCUUGACAGCGAUUAAAACAAAAACAAAGUCAGACCUCAUCCCAUGGGAUGAUGUUGCCCACAUCCAAGAAGGAGCUUCCCUUCUCAGUUAAAGCUUUCUGGGGACACCCUCAGAGAGGUAAACCCGUCCAGAACUCUGCACCGACGAGCCCAGAGGAGUGUCUCCUAAGCGAUUCCAAACCCAGGCAAGCUGUCUUGAAGAUUAACCAACACAGCAACGCUUUUCAGUUUUUUGAACUAGAUUCAUUCAGCGCUUCAUUUCCAACUUUUUAAUGUUUUCCAAAGUCGUAUUUUCCUUGUGGAAUGUUUCUAUGAUGUUACUGACUUCAUCAAUAUUGCUGAAUUUCUUGCCUGUUCUACCUUUCAUCUAUGUUGCUGCUUACUUUCAAUUUUGUAACUUGAUUCAUUUGCUUGUUUAUAUCCUCUUU